UGUUACAUUUGGAUAGUCCCCUCUGCAAAUACAAGAAUCCAAGACAAAAGGCUGGCUCCUACCCAGGGGAAAAGUCAUCUGGCAACAUAGUCAGCUGGGAAGAAUCUGUGGUAACCUGAGGAAGCUGCUCGUGAAGUCAGAUGGGACUGAAAGGUUAUAAAAGGACAGGAGCUGCUCUACUCAGGGUCUUCACCCAUUUUCACCAGCUCAAGCUAAAGGGAGCUGCUGCAGGAGCCUGAUGAAGUGAUGGGAACCAUGCUUAUCUAAGGAUUCGCAAGGGAAGGAGCUUCUACCCUGAACCUUCUUCAGCUCCUUUCUGCCUGAAACCCUGCUACAAGUUUACAGAAACAGUUCACAUAAGGUCACAUAAUGGGGUGAAGCAAUCUCUAGCAGCUCCUAGGUCGGUGAAGAGAUUCUACCUCUUCCACCCACAAUGUAGAACUGUUUCUUAAAGGCAUAGUGUAGCCUUAUACUAAAUACAUAACUUUAAUUAAAGUAUUAGCAUUUCAAUUUGAUGGACUGUUGGCUAAUGAUAAUCAGUUAACACUCUGAGUUUAUAUGAAAUGAAAACUAAGAAGAUGAAGAUACUGAGAUGCAGAAUAGAAAGGAAGUAAAAUGAGAAUAAAACAGAGUAAGGGAUGUAGAGAAAACACCAGCUAAAGAUCCAGUAGCCUGGGAGGAAUGGUCCAUUGGGACUCUGGUAAUUGAGCCCAGGCACGCUAGGUCCUAAUGCUGCCACCUUAGCUACUAUACCAGAGCAAUGCCCUGACCUGGUACCCCCUGACCAACAGCCUUAGUGGUAAAGGCCUACAGGCUCACAACAGCCACACACCAGGCUCCUCAUUGGAUGGACAAGCAGCACUCUCAUUAGGUACCUGGACUAUCUAAAGACUCCAACAGGAAGAGGAAGCUGUCUGAGCAACAGACCAUUGCCUGCUGGUUGCUCCUCAGACUGCCUUGCCUUGCCUGACCCUAUCUUGCUGGCCUGACCCUGCCUUGCCUCCUCGUCCAAUCUCGCUUCCCUAACCCACUGACCCAGCCCCUUGGAUUGGUUCUUUCAUCUACUGACCCCUGUGAGAACCGUGACCAUUUCUCUGUACAGCUUCUGAUAUGGAUUGACGUACUAGCUACCCAACCAUCACACACACUUGACUACUGCUCUGGACUGCCGCCUAGCCCAUCUCAGACACCUGGGCAUUACAUGGUCCUACAAUAAAUUGUGAUUCUACAGGGAUAUUUAAGGUGUUGUCGGAGAAUAAUAAUGUCUGUUUUUCUUCUAUAAUUGUUUUAAAGAAGGUUAAUUAUUUAUUGCCAUAUGCAUUCAUUGUUCUACUUUUCUACAUGUUGUAAUGUGUGUACUUUGACUGUCCCGUAUUUUGCAUCCUGAUAUCACCUGAUGAAUCAAGCAUUUGGAAGGUCAUGGGAUAUAAGGAACACCUUUUAAAAUAAAAAUCAAUCAAAGGAA